GUGGCAUAGUCUUUAUUUGUUGAGGACCCGACCGGGGCCAGUCCCAGACUGAUGGAAGCAUUAAUGUAGAGCCC